rnacentral:rRNA from 1 species
AAGUCGUACGUGAAAGUCCUUCGGGAUGAGUAAAGUGGCGCACGGGUGAGUAACACGUGAGUUAUCUGCCUUUGGGUGGGGAAUACCAACCGGAAACGGUUGUUAAUACCGCAUAAUGCUUGCGCUGUAAUGGCGUAUGUUAAAGCGGGGGAUCAGCAAUGACCUCGCGCCUGAAGAGGAGCUCGCGGCAGAUUAGGUAGUUGGUGAGGUAAUGGCUCACCAAGCCUGCGAUCUGUAACCGGCCUGAGAGGGCGGUCGGUCACACUGACACUGACAUACGGGUCAGACUCCUACGGGAGGCAGCAGUCGGGAAUUUUGGGCAAUGGGCGAAAGCCUGACCCAGCAACGCCGCGUGAAGGAUGAAGCAUUUCGGUGUGUAAACUUCGCAAGAAUAGGAAGAAUAAGUUUGAACAAAUAAUUCAAACGAUGACGGUACUAUUUAUAAGCUCCGGCUAACUUCGUGCCAGCAGCCGCGGUAAUACGAGGGGAGCAAGCGUUGUUCGGAUUUACUGGGCGUAAAGGGUGCGUAGGCGGCACCACAAGUCACUUGUGAAAUCUUUGGGCUUAACCCAAAGCGGCCAAGUGAUACUGUGGAGCUAGAGUGCAGAAGGG